AGCAAUUCCACGACAACACUAACGUCUCAACCCAGAUCCGACCCGAAUUUGCCAGCCCCGAUUAACCCUUAACCACGUCGACCUACGUCUAACAGCGAAACCCGACCCCAACCCGUUUCUUUUUCACCUUCGUCACGCAUCUCACGCAUCCGUAGGACGAGAAAAUGAUCCAAAAAUCUUUUGAACAAGCUAGGUGACACCCCCCAAUGGCUAAUUGCAUGAAUCUCUGCCACGAUGGUACUAUUUCGUACAUAUUUUGUAAAUUUUCGUUGGUUCUUGGGGAAAUUAUCCAUUUCCCCCAAUUUCUGUUGGCCAUUUUUUGAAAUCCGUUCCAAAAAAUCCAAAUUAGGGUACAAUCUGUUAUUAUCCUCAUCUUUUGAAUUUCGAAAUUCCCCCUGAAAAAUCCCUAAAAUACCCCAAUUCCGUCUUCUAUAUAAGAACCCAUUGGGUCACUAUUUUGGGGGAUUGGAAAUACUGGAUUUGGAAAAAACUAAGGAAGAGAGAAAAAGAACAAAAAUUCUUGGAGAAAAUUCGGUCUUUAGUAGAAAUUCUGUUCUUGUUUUGAAAGUUUAUCGACUAAAUUAGAGCUUCGAGUUGACGGUGAAGAAGUUUUUACGGUGGUCGUGAUCUCCAUACCAAUUCUUCGUCUCGAUUUGCUGCCCUUAAAGAGGUAAAUACACUCUGCUUUUCCUUUAAUUUGACCGCUUUCUUCUUCGUCUCUUUUUCUUCGUAGCUAAUGUAGUCGUAGUCGUAACCUUGUUUUGCUGGGAGUAGCUAAUUUGUCAUAGCUGCCUGAUAUGCAAUUUCUGCUAGUUUCGCCUCAGCUUUGAAAUCUGCCGCUUAAUCUUGACAUUGUUGAUGAAUUUGCGACGUAACACUCUCAUUUUGUUUACUGCCUGAGGUGAAUAGUUGGUUUCAUAGCUAAAGUUUCGUGCUUUGACUUUGUCUAGUAUCUAGGGCUGAUGGUGUCUUGUUCCUGGUUAGUAUUUGACGUUGUUUUGUUUGUCGUCAUUAUCUUGGUUCUGUCUCGUUUUCGCUUUGAAGUAGUAAAAAAUGGUAAUUUAACUCUUUCUUGUAUGCUCGGUGUUCUCUGUAGAAGGCCUCAAAGGCCAUAGGAUCUAUGUGCGUUAAAAAUGUGUAAUGGUUGCGUUGUAUUAGAUUCAUUGUUUGAUCUCCAUGUCGAGCUUUUUUUCCUUUACCGUUAAUUCACGUUUAAAAGUGUAGAAUAGCAUGAAAUCCAUGUUCUACCCUAAUGUUCAAUUGUAAACAUUUUAGGAUGUCUGCUUGGUUUAUUGGAAAGUAUUCUUGUUGAAAUAUCAUGAUUUCCCUUUUUUUUAAUCAUCGUAAGCUCGUUUACCAAAAUGCAGUUAGUCUUAGUUAGUCUGAGUCUGAUAUGAGCAUAAAGAAAUUUUUUUUCUUUUCUUCUUUUGGGUUGCUAUUCGAUAAAGUAGUGAAAUAUUCUAGUGACAAGAUGGGUGUUUCUUCCAUAAUACCUUUGCAUGAGCUUUCCGAAAAUCUACCCAUCUGAUUGGAUUUUGCGGAUCUUUCCCCAAUUUCAGAUCUUGGCAGUAGUAUACUCCCGAAAUGUGGUUGUAAGAGUAGCUCGGAUAUGGUGGUUUUGUUACUAUAUCUAAAACGUUUGCUUCUGAGAGUUUGAUUGCUUAAGUUUGUUCCGGUCUUUCUCUUUUCUCUAUGUGAUGAUUUGAAUAGAAGAUGCAUGCUUAGAGUCGUUUGUCCUCCUUUCUUGAAGUUCACUGUAACUAGUCGAAAUUAGAUGUGAAUGGUAAUUCCCAUAACAUAGGAUUCACUAACUUAUAAACUAACUUGCUCUUUGGGUUUCUUGAGUUCUUAUCUGUUAACUUUCUAUCACCCUCGCUAAAUCUUUGGGUUGUCCGGUCAAAAUCCUCGCUUAAUUAAAAUAAUUUCCACAGCCUUAAAACGUAUUGAUCUAACUCCUUCUACUUGAAAUCGUGUGACUAUUCUCAUCCUCUCUGUAAACUAGAAUUUCUUUGAUUGUGCGCUUUCUCUAGCCAUUAUGAGUCGUAUUUCUUUCCGCAUUCAUGUGUUUUCUUCGAUUAUCCCGCAUCACAUGUUGCGGAUACAGACUGAACCUUUUAAUCACGUGGGGUUAGGAAGGGGAAAGUCUUAUUUAGUUAUUUCUUUUUAAGAUAACUGAUAUACAACAUUUGCAUCUUGCUAAAUUUACCAUGUGCAGCUUAUCUUUAUGUAAAUGAUGCCAUUCAUCUUUACUCGCAAGUUGUGACAUAUCUUUGCACAAAUAAAAAUUUUUCUAACGCUUAACAUUAUUUGAAUCCAUAUUUUGGGAGUAGUUUCUAGGAGAACAUGUUACAGUUAUUCAUAGGCUACUGCUGAAGUCCCUUUCUUGUUGCCCUCACUAUGUUCCUGCAGUAGUUGAUGACAUGCAUUUGGGUUUAUAAUCACUGCCUAAUACAUAGUAGGAGGCAGUACUUUCUUUUUUUUAGUAUUUGGUAUUUAAGUGGUACUUAAGAAGCAGAUUCGUGUUAAAAGGUUAAUCCAAGUCUACGAGGUUGUCUUUUAGUGCGUUACGUGGAGUAUCUUGUUUAUUGUAUUAUUAGACAUGUUACUUGUUGUUGCAUUUUUUUUCCGCAUUUAUGCUUGAAUCUUUCAUUGUAUCAUUAAUUUCUUUAGCAUGUUUAUCCCUAAUUCGGAAUACUUAUUAAUCCCUUCAUUUUUCUUUCCUUCUCAUCUCUGCAUGUACUUGCUUUGGAGUCCAAACGAACUCCUCCUCUCUUUCAUGAACGGGCCAAUGAGGCCUCUCUUCUGAGUCAAGCCUCAAAGAAAGUCAAACGAAUUAGAUGGCGUACGGAUACGAGGAAUCAGAAGGAGAAGAAUGGGUUAAAAUCCCACGUUUGAAGUGGCUAUGAGACUUAAAAGUCUCAUUUGUUGUUUUAUUUAUUUACUUAUUGUUGUUUUUAUUUAUUUGUUUAUUUAUUCAUUCAUUUGGGCCACGUGGAGCGAGACCCGAGCCAAGCGCUCGAAAACUAGAUUAGAUUAGGACAGGUGAAAAUGGGUCGAAAGCCUAAUUAGACU